UAGGCAAAUUGCACCUUCUCUGUGCUCCA
rnacentral:piRNA from 1 species